AUUGAACGCUGGCGGCAGGCUUAACACAUGCAAGUCGAGCGCGCGGCGGACGGGGGAGUAAUGUCUGGGGAACAGUCCGAAGGAGGGGGAUAACUACUGGAAACGGGAGCGAAAACAGCAUACCCUCAGAUGUGCCCAGAUGGGGUUAGCUAGUAGGUGGGGGAAUGGCUCACCAAGGCGACGAGCCCUCGCUGGUCUGAGAGGAUGACCGGCCAGACUGGAUCUGAGACACGGUCCAGACUCCUACGGGAGGCAGCAGUGGGGAAUAUUGCACAAUGGGCGCAAUCCUGAUGCAGCCAUGCCGCGUGUGUGAAGAAUGCCUUCGGGUUGUAAAGCACUUUCAGCGAGGAGGCGUUACUCGCAGAAGAAGCACCGGCUAACUCCGUGCCAGCAGCCGCGGUAAUUC
rnacentral:rRNA from 1 species